rnacentral:lncRNA from 1 species
AUGUACAAGUAUUGUCUCAUUUUAUACUCUCAACAUAGUCACUGGGAAGGGAGGAAGGGAGGAAGGGAGGGAGGAAAGAAGGAAGGAAGGAAGGAAGGAAGGAAGGAAGGAAGGAAGGAAGGAAGGAAGGAAGGAAGGAAGGAAGGAAGGAAGGAAGGAAGGAAGGAAGGAAGGAAGGAAGGAAGGAAGGAAGGAAGGGAGGAAGGGAGGGAGGGAGGAAGGAAGGAAAGAAAGGAAGGAAGGAAAGAAAGAAAGAAAGAAAGAAAGAAAGAAAGAAAGAAAGAAAGAAAGAAAGAAAGAAAGAAAGAAAGAAAGAAAGAAAGAAAGAAAGAAAGAGGAAGGGAGGGAAGGAAGGAAGGAGGGAGGGAGGGAGGGAGGGAGGGAAAGAAGGAAGGAAGGAAGGAGGGAGGGAAAGAAGUAGGGAAAGAAGGAAGAAGGAAAAAGAAAAGAAACCCCGCCUCUCUUGGAAACCACAGGCUGAUAGGAGAGGCAACAUGCAAGCCACUAUGGAGAGAAAAGGUACAAUCUAUACAAGUUAAAUUUCUGCUGGUCUCAUAGGCACUGAAAGCACUCAGAUUAAGGAGACCUGGG